rnacentral:tRNA from 1 species
UCCCUGGUGGCUCAGCUGGUAAAGAAUCUGCCUGCAACGCAGGAGACCUGGGUUCGAUCCCUGGGUUGGGAA